rnacentral:ncRNA from 1 species
UCGUAGGGUAGAAUCUAAAGUAAGCUGUAAGCAAAGUCUCUAUCUGACGGGUGGGAAUAAUAUACGAAUGCAGGAAUAAUCUGGGCAAACUUACUAGAAAAAGUAAAACUCAAUAACUAUCUGAAGGUUACUUAAGUAAAAGUAGCAGAUAUAAGAGAUGUAAGUU